UGCUUGUAGCCCAGCGCAAAUGCUGCAUGCUGUACACAGGCCCUAUUGUUGAUAGUGAAAAAUUCAAGAACAAUGGAUUACUAACACGUUAACUUCCCUCACAAGAAGGCACAAAAAUUAAGAUUUUCCCUUCAUAUACACAAAACUGAGAAACGAACCAAAUCAAUAUACAAAAAAAUAUUUUUGGACAAAGCGUUCAUAUGGAAGGCAUAUUCAGCCACAAAACUAAGAGGCGGCAAUGCGAAAAAACCAUCGCAAGCAGCAGGUUAAUAACCAGACAGUUUGCUGGCCAAAGAAGCUCUAUUUUACUACCCUUGGAGGAAAUGGAUUAAAAAAAUACAUCUUAACGGCUGUGACAUGUCAUCAAGUGAUUGUGAGGAUAUAUGGAGGAUGUGUGAUAAGAAAUCUCAAAAAAAAAAAACAGCAUAACAAAAAUUUCGAUUUUUAUAUCGAUGACACAUUUGGAAACUGUCGCAAUAUGUUUAAUGUAAAGCGAAUUGUUGCAUUGAAUAGCGGAGGGAGCAUGCAUGGAGGAGGCAACGCAGCAUAGAUGGGGAUAUGUGCGUGUUUUUAUUUGGCAUUGUGUUUUUAUUUUUAAACAAACAAAAGUUGUUGCGGCGGCUGCUGAUGCUGUUGCUGCUGCUACAAUCCAACAAAAUAAAUAAUAAAAACAAAAUAAAAAUAAAUGACAUGUUCUGCUCGAUUUACAACACUUUUCCAUGCCGCAACCAAAAUAAACAAAGCCAUGUCAUUGCCACCGCUGCCGCCGCCAGCCACAAACAUCAACAACAACAGGAGAGUCAUCGGCAGCAACUGGCAACCGACAAUCGGCAACAAACAAAGUGUGAACUGGAAAAAUUGCCGCCUUCUCAUUUGAUUUGAUUUUGACAACAGCGCCAACAGAGAAGCUACCAAUGAAGAACGUGAUCAGAACAACGACAAAAGUUGCAGUUGGUGACAAUAUUUUCUUUGAGUUAAGCAUGCUGUGGCAACAUUCAUUCCCCGCCUGCCAGGUCAGAGAGGCGGUAUUGCUGUUGGAUGUUGGGCCCGUUAUGUUAUUGAAGGCGUUAAGCAUCAUAAAUUUACAACAUUUUUUUUUAAAUAAACAAAAGCUACUCAUCAGCUGUCACAUCAAA